rnacentral:rRNA from 1 species
GACGAACGCUGGCGGUGUGCUUAACAUAUGCAAGUCGAACGGAAAGGCCCUGCUUUUGUGGGGUGCUCGAGUGGCGAACGGGUGAGUAACACGUGAGUAACCUGCCCUUGACUUUGGGAUAACUUCAGGAAACUGGGGCUAAUACCGGAUAGGAGCUCCUGCUGCAUGGUGGGGGUUGGAAAGUUUCGGCGGUUGGGGAUGGACUCGCGGCUUAUCAGCUUGUUGGUGGGGUAGUGGCUUACCAAGGCUUUGACGGGUAGCCGGCCUGAGAGGGUGACCGGCCACAUUGGGACUGAGAUACGGCCCAGACUCCUACGGGAGGCAGCAGUGGGGAAUAUUGCACAAUGGGCGGAAGCCUGAUGCAGCAACGCCGCGUGCGGGAUGACGGCCUUCGGGUUGUAAACCGCUUUCGCCUGUGACGAAGCGUGAGUGACGGUAAUGGGUAAAGAAGCACCGGCUAACUACGUG